GGGGGAGCUUAUCUGGCAGAUCGAGAGGCAACGGGUAGAUGAGCUUGCUCAUUUAUGCCGGCGACCGGCGCACGGGUCCCUUUUACGUAUGCAACCUGCCCGUCUCAGGGGGAUAAUCCCCCUAAACGGCGUCUAAUACCCCGUAUGAAGCUGGACGGCAUCGUCUGGUUUUGAUAGAGUAUCGGAGACGGAUGGCCCUGCGGCGCAUUAUCUAUUUGGCGGGGUAACGGCCCACCAAGGCGACGAUGCUGAGGGGUUCUGAGAGGAAGGUCCCCCACACUGGUACUGAGACACGGACCAGACUCCUACGGGAGGCAGCUGUGAGGAAUAUUGGUCGGUGGGCGAGAGCCUGAACCAGCCAAGUCUCGUGAGGGAGUACUGCCCUAUGGGUUGUAAACCUCUUUUGUCGGGGAGCAAAAACCGGACGUGUCCGUCUGUGAGAGUACCCGAAUAAAAAGCAUCGGCUAACUCCGUGCCAGCACCCGCGGUAAUACGGAGGAUGCGAGCGUUAUCCGGAUUUAUUGGGUUUAAAGGGUGCGCACGCGGAUUUUUAAGUCAGCGGUCGAAUCGUGCGGCUCAACCCCAUCCAGACGUUGAAACUGGGGAUCUAGAGUGCGCGAGAGGUAUGCGGAAUGCGUGGUGUAGCGAUGAACUGCAUAGAUAUCACGCAGAACCCCGAUUGCGAAGGCAUCAUACCGGUGCACAACUGACGCUCAGGCACGAAAGCGUGGGUAUCGAACAGGAUUACAU
rnacentral:rRNA from 1 species